CCCUUCCCACUAACAGGUUAACCUAUGACAAUAGGAGAAUUGAUACUAAAAUGAGUAACUAGGGCACACCCCUCUUAAGCGCAAACUUACAUCUACCCAUUAUUAACAGACAUCUAAUACUCCCACACCAACAAGAUCUUAUAUUUCACCCACUGUUAACCCGACCCAGGAGCGCCUGCUAGAAAGAUUAAAAUCUGUAAAAGGAACUAGGCAAACCCCAAGGCCCGACUGUUUACCAAAAACAUAGCCUUCAGCUAAACCAAGUAUUGAAGGUGAUGCCUGCCCAGUGACCCAUGUUUAACGGCCGCGGUAUCCUAACCGUGCGAAGGUAGCGCAAUCAAUUGUCCCAUAAAUCGAGACUUGUAUGAAUGGCUAAACGAGGUCUUAACUGUCUCUUACAGAUAAUCAGUGAAAUUGAUCUCCCUGUGCAAAAGCAGGAAUAAACACAUAAGACGAGAAGACCCUGUGGAACUUAAAAAUCAAUAGCCACCUCACAAACAAAACCAAACCUAUCCAGGUCCACCACUGCAACACACUGGCUAACAUUUUUCGGUUGGGGCGACCUUGGAGAAUAACAAACCCUCCAAAAAUAAGACCACCUCUCUUAACCAAGAGCAACCUCUCAACGUGCUAACAGUAACCAGACCCAAUAUAAUUGACCAAUGGACCAAGCUACCCCAGGGAUAACAGCGCAAUCCCUUCCAAGAGCCCAUAUCGACGAAGGAGUUUACGACCUCGAUGUUGGAUCAGGACAUCCUAAUGGUGCAGCAGCUAUUAAGGGUUCGUUUGUUCAACGAUUAACAGUCCUACGUGAUCUGAGUUCAGACCGGAGUAAUCCAGGUCGGUUUCUAUCUAUGACGAAUUUUUCCCAGUACGAAAGGACCGGAAAAAUGAGGCCAAUGCUUCAAAUUGUACGCCUUCUCUUUAAGCAAUGACUUCAACUGAAUUACCAAAAGAUCUACCAUAUGCCCAAUCCUAAAAAAGGAUC
rnacentral:rRNA from 1 species